CACGUAGGCGGCCUGGUAAGUCAGAUGUGAAAGCCCGGGGCUUAACCCCGGAAGUGCAUUUGAUACUGUCAGGCUUGAGUAUGGGAGAGGGAAGUGGAAUUCCUGGUGUAGAGGUGAAAUUCGUAGAUAUCAGGAGGAACACCGGUGGCGAAGGCGACUUCCUGGACCAAUACUGACGCUGAGGUGCGAAGGCGAGGGUAGCAAACA
rnacentral:rRNA from 1 species